rnacentral:rRNA from 1 species
GACGAACGCUGGCGGCGUGCUUAACACAUGCAAGUCGAACGGAAAGGCCCUGCUUUUGUGGGGUGCUCGAGUGGCGAACGGGUGAGUAACACGUGAGUAACCUGCCCUUGACUUUGGGAUAACUUCAGGAAACUGGGGCUAAUACCGGAUAGGAGCUCCUGCUGCAUGGUGGGGGUUGGAAAGUUUCGGCGGUUGGGGAUGUACUCUCGGCUUAUCAGCUGGUUGGUGGGGUAGUGGCUUACCAAGGCUUUGACGGGUAGCCGGCGUGAGAGGGUGACCGGCCACAUUGGGACUGAGAGACGGCCCAGACUGCUACGGUAGGCAGCAGUGGGGAAUAUUGCACAAUGGGCGGAAGCCUGAUGCAGCAACGCCGCGUGCGGGAUGACGGCCUUCGGGUGGUAAACCGCUGUCGCCUGUGACGAAGCGUGAGUGACGGUAAUGGGUAAAGAAGCACCGGCUAACUACGUG